rnacentral:rRNA from 1 species
GAUGAACGCUGGCGGCGUGCCUAAUACAUGCAAGUCGAGCGAACGGACGAGAAGCUUGCUUCUCUGAUGUUAGUGGCGGACGGGUGAGUAACACGUGGAUAACCUACCUAUAAGACUGGGAUAACUUCGGGAAACCGUAGCUAAUACCGGAUAAUAUUUUGAACCGCAUGGUUCAAUAGUGAAAGACGGUCUUGCUGUCACUUAUAGAUGGAUCCGCGCUGCAUUAGCUAGUUGGUAAGGUAACGGCUUACCAAGGCAACGAUGCAUAGCCGACCUGAGAGGGUGAUCGGCCACACUGGAACUGAGACACGGUCCAGACUCCUACGGGAGGCAGCAGUAGGGAAUCUUCCGCAAUGGGCGAAAGCCUGACGGAGCAACGACGCGUGAGUGAUGAAGGUCUUCGGAUCGUAAAACUCUGUUAUUAGGGAAGAACAUAUGUGUAAGUAACUGUGCACAUCUUGACGGUACCUAAUCAGAAAGCCACGGCUAACUACGUG